rnacentral:tRNA from 1 species
GGGCCCGUAGCUCAGCUUGGAUAGAGCGGCAGCCUUCUAAGCUGUAGGCCGCGGGUUCAAAUCCCGCCGGGCCCG